CAAUAGCGUAUAUUAAAGUUGUUGCAGUUAAAAAGCUCGUAGUUGGAUUUCGGGGCAGCCUGGCUGGUCCGCCGCAAGGCGAGUACUGGUCAGCCGCCCUUCCUCUCGAAAGCCCCGACUGCUCUUCAUUGCAGUGGUCGGGUAGUUCGGGACGUUUACUUUGAAAAAAUUAGAGUGUUCAAGGCAGGCCUACGCCUGAAUACAUUAGCAUGGAAUAAUGGAAGAGGACCUCGGUCCUAUUUUGUUGGUUUCCAGGGCCGAAGUAAUGACUAAGAGGGACAGUUGGGGGCAUUCGUAUUUAAUUGUCAGAGGUGAAAUUCUCGGAUUUAUGAAAGACGAACAACUGCGAAAGCAUUUGCCAAGGAUGUUUUCAUUAA
rnacentral:rRNA from 1 species